rnacentral:rRNA from 1 species
AAAAGACGAACAGCUCAGUAACUCUUAUUUUAUUUGAUGUAUUAGGAUUAUAACUAUGUUAAAUUAUAGAUAACAAUAAUACAAUAAGAAUAAGAUCUAUCAGUUAGUUGUUAAGGUAAUGGCUUAACAAGACUAUGACGGAUAACGGUAUUACUUUGUAAUAUUCCGGAGAAGGAGCCUGAGAGAUUGCUACUAAGUCUAAGGAUUGCAGCAGGGGCGAAACUUGACCUAUGAUAUGAUAUUGAGGCAGUUAUGAGUAGUAUUUUUAAUUAUUGUAGUAUUGUAAGUAUAUACUACAAGAUAAAUCGGAGGGCAAAUCGAGUGCCAGCAGCCGCGGUAAUACUUGUUCCGAUAGUGUGUAUGAUGAUUGAUGCAGUUAAAAAGUCUGUAGUUUAUUAUUAAUAAGCAUUGUGAGGUAUAUUGUAUGGUUAGGAGAGAGAUGAAAUGUGAUAACCCUAACUGGAUGAACAGAAGCGAAAGCUAUAUACUUAAAUGUUUUAUUAGAACAAGGACGUAAGCUAGAGGAUCGAAGAUGAUUAGAUACCAUUGUAGUUCUAGCAGUAAACUAUGUUAAAUCAUAGAUACAUUAUUAAUAUGUAUUUAUGUAAAGAAAUUAAGAUUAUAUUGACUCUGGGGAUAGUAUGAUCGCAAGAUUGAAAAUUAAAGAAAUUGACGGAAGAAUACCACAAGGAGUGGAUUG